rnacentral:piRNA from 1 species
UACACUGUGGACGUGUUCGGCCAUACAUC